rnacentral:rRNA from 1 species
AACGAACGCUGGCGGCAUGCCUAACACAUGCAAGUCGAACGGCAGCACAGUAAGUGCUUGCUCUUACGGGAGUCGAGUGGCGGACGGGUGCGGACUGCAGCGUAACCCACUUUUACGCGGGGGCUAACGAAGGGAAACUUACGCUAAUACGGCAUACAUCCUAUGUGACGAUGCGAGGGAUCUUUUCACCUUGCGCGAUGCUAUGAGCCUAUGUCGGAUUAGCUGGUUGGCGGGGUAAAGGCCCACCAAGGCGACGAUCCGUAGCUGGUCUGAGAGGAUGAUCGGCCACACUGGAACUGAGACACGGUCCAGACUCCUACGGGAGGCAGCAGUGGGGAAUAUUGGACAAUGGGCGCAAGCCUGAUCCAGCCAUACCGCGUGGGUGAAGAAGGCCUUCGGGUUGUAAAGCCCUUUUGUUGGGAAAGAAAAGCAGCAGGUUAAUACCCCGCUGUUCUGACGGUACCCAAAGAAUAAGCACCGGCUAACUUCGUG